rnacentral:rRNA from 1 species
UACGGAGGGUGCAAGCGUUAUCCGGAUUCACUGGGUUUAAAGGGUGCGUAGGCGGGUAUUUAAGUCAGUGGUGAAAUCUCCGGGCUCAACCCGGAAACUGCCAUUGAUACUAUUUAUCUUGAAUUCUGUUGAGGUAGGCGGAAUAUAUCAUGUAGCGGUGAAAUGCUUAGAUAUGAUAUAGAACACCGAUUGCGAAGGCAGCUUACUAAACAGAUAUUGACGCUGAGGCACGAAAGCGUGGGGAUCAAACAGG